CAUGUCUGAACCAUUAAAGUCUUCCACAACAUUCAAGGAUGAAAAAAAGGAUCUUUGACAAAAUGGCUCCUCUGUUGAUCUUUCAUCCUCCUCCUACGUUGUUGUACUCGAGAUAGUUUGGCAGGUUCAGAUGCUUGAGAUGGUUGGGAUUGAGAAGCAUCAGCUGCUUGAGAUGGUUGGGAUUGAGAAGCAUCAGCUACUUCAGAAGCCUGGGAUUGAGAAGGCACUUGGGAACUCGCUUGCUUGUUUCCUUUGCCUUAAUUGCAUACUCUGUUGUCCGCUACUUUGGUCUCCACCAUCUCUCCUUCUUACCUAAAACAAAUAAUAAUUAGAAGUUUCCAUGAUAUGAAAUUUUGAUUGGUGAAAACAUAGUUGAAACCGUGGCACUUACUGCAAGUUUUUCUUGGCAACUUUCCUCUUCCUAGUAGGCUUUAUGUUGGGAUUUCUAGGUUCCUAAUAAGCAAAGUCAUCAAGUCAGAAACCAAAUCAAAUACAUUUAAAUGUAAAGCAAUAAGCCUAUAAUGACACAUACCUUACAACUAAUUCGAUUAUGCCCUUCUCCACUGCAAUUGCCACACUUUAAAGGGAUGCCAUACCUAGGAAGCUUAUAUGGAUUAGCAGGUUGUUUAGGUUCAUCAACAGCUUGUUUUCUUGUCUUCUUAGGCCUACCAGGCUGCUUGUGGUAUUUCAGAGGGAGUAAUGCAGGUAAAUUAAUCUUCAUCCACUGAUCUUGGCUGGUCAUAGGCAUAAUCAUUGGUUCAUAGGCUCUCAAAUAAGCCUCUUUCUUGUACACUGCAUCACAAAAGUCCUCUGGAUUCCCAUGAAACCAACUUAUUGCAGCACAAGCAUGCGAACAUGGUAUUCCAUUCAAAUCCCAAGCAUGGCAUGAACAAUCGUGGGCAUUCAAAUCAACAACAAAGUUGCGGCCACUAUGGUGCAUUACUUCAAACUUAUUAUGUCCAGCAGCCUUAGGAAUGCACCACUAAGCUUUUCCUUUGUUUUUCUCUAAUAUCUUUCUAAUUCUUGGCCCAACUUGUCCAUGCCAUUUCUCACAGAAAACCCUUAUUCCAGCCAUCAACAACAUUAUAUACAACCGAAUUCUUUCUAGCACAGUCAAAACACGCUUGUCUCUAGCAUCCAUUAUGCUAUGGUUGAAUGCCUCACAUAGGUUGUUCAUAAGCAUGUCACACUUGGAAUCACUCUUGAAAUAUGCCCUACUCCAUUGCGCAGGAUCUUUCUCUACAAGCCAAUCAUGUGCAGGUUUAGACAACUCCAACAACUUUCUCAUCUCUGCAUGAAACCAUGGCACUGUUGUGGCCCUAGCAAUUGCUUCCAUUUGAUGUUUCAAAGCAAGACCUCUAUGUUCCAUAUAGAAGUUUCCAUAUAGAUGUUUCAAACAAUGUCUAUGCUCUGCAUGAGGGAAUAGAGCAUCCACAGCAUCUAUUAACCAUUUUUGUUUGUCAGUCAUAAAUACAUAACCAUGGCUAUUUGUUAUAUUCAGAUCACCACUCAAUAAUUCUAAAAACCACAGCCAUGUUGAAUUGCUCUCAAUCUCUACAUAUGCAUAGGCAAGUGGAAACAUUCCGUUGUUUGCAUCAACUCCCAUUGCAGAAAGCACUUGCCUAGGGUGAGGCCCUUUGACAUGACACCCAUGCAAGCAAACCACAUGCCUACAACCAUCUAAAAACCCCUAUUGCAGGGUGCAAGACAGAUGUAAAUUCUCUGAAACCUUGGCCUAUCACCUUCCAUUUCAGAUUUAAUGAUAACUGUACUUCCCACAUUUCUGGUUCUUAACUCAUGACAAUAAUCCCACAAUACUUCAUAUUGUUUACUGUAAGACCCCUCUACAAUGUCAACUGCCAAGGCUCUUGCUCUGUACAAAGUUGCUCUAGAUGGUCUAUAACCAUAGUCUUGGUGAACUUGCUCUGCAAAAGAAGAACCAGUCCAAUUUGGAUUGAGCCUUAACUUCCCUGAAUAUCUUUCAGCCAACCAGGCAGCAGUGGCAUGUAUAUUUUUAGUCCCCUUACUACAAACAUGUGUAGGAUUAAAGGUUUUCACCUGCAGGUAAGUGCUACCACUAACACUUGAAGCAUGGAUAACAAAAAGACAGCCCUCUUCACAUACUACUCUUAUUUUGUUACGGUCAUUAUUCAUAAAUAUCAACUCCCUUCCACAAUUAAUGGAGUAUAUCCUCACAGCUUUUCUAAACAACUCGGCAGUUGCAAACUUUAAACCUAUUUUGAAACCUGGGUUUGCCAUAUCAAUUUCAGGUCUGAAAUCUUCACCUUUUGGCAUCCUAUUCUUCUUCCUUCUUACUUCACCUACUGCAUCAUCUUCACUUGAAGAGCUAUUUGGGCAGGUAAGUGUAGGUGACUCUUCUCCAUUGUCUGACUCAUCAUUUUCCUCUGCAUUAGGAUCAUUGUCAAUGCAACUAUGAUCCAUAUAACCUUCAAACCACUUAUCAUCCUUCUUCAAUAAGUCAAUCUCUUCAUCACUCUGUGCAUAGUCACUGUCUUCAAAGUUUGGAUCACUGCUAUCAU
rnacentral:lncRNA from 1 species